CCUGGAAGGAAAGCUCAGUGUUAGAGCAUCUGCUUUGCAUGCAAAUGGUCCCAGGUUCAAUCCUGAAGCCUCCAGGA